CUUCAAGCUCUGAAAGGAAUAGAAGAAAACAGAGGAGCGUGUGAUAGACCACGACGAGCUCGGUCUCUUUAUGCUCAUCUCGUGAUCAUCAACACCAUCAACGCGCAUCCCCGAGCUUGACGUUGUCAAGAUCACGUCUUAGCCUCUUCGUUGGAUUCAGAUCACGUUAUCUUGGCAUUGAUUGGAGCUCCAGACUUGUUCUCAACAAAGUUCAAUACUUUAUCUCAGCAACAAAGGCUUGUUGAUCAAAAAAAAAUAUUUUGGGUCGGGUGUGAGUUGAGAGCUUGUAAAAAAGUUUCCCGGGUUGAUAAUAAAAGAUCUAUAGCAGGUCCGGAGACGUAGGCAAGAUUGGCCGAACUCCGUUAACAAUUGUGUGUGUGUUUUCCCGCUCCCAUAAAUUCUGGUUUACCGCAAAAUUUGACCGCAUAUUUCCUAACAACUGGUAUCAGAGCCUG
rnacentral:lncRNA from 1 species